UACGGAGGGUGCAAGCGUUGCUCGGAAUUAUUGGGCGUAAAGCGCACGUAGGCGGAUUGUUAAGUCAGGGGUGAAAUCCUGGAGCUCAACUCCAGAACUGCCUUUGAUACUGGCAAUCUUGAGUCCGGAAGAGGUGAGUGGAACUCCUAGUGUAGAGGUGGAAUUCGUAGAUAUUAGGAAGAACACCAGUGGCGAAGGCGGCUCACUGGUCCGGUACUGACGCUGAGGUGCGAAAGCGUGGGGAGCAAACAGG
rnacentral:rRNA from 1 species